rnacentral:rRNA from 1 species
GGGGCUAAACAUAUUACCGAAGCUGUGGAUUGUCCUUUGGACAAUGGUAGGAGAGCGUUCUAAGGGCGUUGAAGCAUGAUCGUAAGGACAUGUGGAGCGCUUAGAAGUGAGAAUGCCGGUGUGAGUAGCGAAAGACGGGUGAGAAUCCCGUCCACCGAUUGACUAAGGUUUCCAGAGGAAGGCUCGUCCGCUCUGGGUUAGUCGGGUCCUAAGCUGAGGCCGACAGGCGUAGGCGAUGGAUAACAGGUUGAUAUUCCUGUACCACCUAUAAUCGUUUUAAUCGAUGGGGGGACGCAGUAGGAUAGGCGAAGCGUGCGAUUGGAUUGCACGUCUAAGCAGUAAGGCUGAGUAUUAGGCAAAUCCGGUACUCGUUAAGGCUGAGCUGUGAUGGGGAGAAGACAUUGUGUCUUCGAGUCGUUGAUUU